UACCUGGUUGAUCCUGCCAGUAAUCAUAUGCUUGUCUCAAAGAUUAAGCCAUGCAUGUCUAAGUACAUGCCGAAAUAAGGCGAAACCGCGAAUGGCUCAUUAAAUCAGUUAUGGUUCCUUAGAUCGUUUCUUCCUACUUGGAUAACUGUGGCAAUUCUAGAGCUAAUACAUGCAGUGAGCCUGAAGCCCUUUGGGCGACGGGUGCUUUUAUUAGACCAAGAUCGAUCGGGUUUCGGCCCGUAUUGUGUGGUGACUCUGGAUAACUUUGUGCUGAUCGCAUGGCCACGAGCCGGCGACGUUUCUUUCAAGUGUCUGCCUUAUCAACUUUCGAUGGUAGGUUACUUGCUUACCAUGGUUGUUACGGGUAACGGAGAAUCAGGGUUCGAUUCCGGAGAGGGAGCCUGAGAAACGGCUACCACAUCCAAGGAAGGCAGCAGGCGCGCAAAUUACCCACUCCCGGCACGGGGAGGUAGUGACGAAAAAUAACAAUACGGGACUCUUUUGAGGCCCCGUAAUUGAAAUGAGUACACUCUAAAUCCUUUAACGAGGAUCAAUUGGAGGGCAAGUCUGGUGCCAGCAGCCGCGGUAAUUCCAGCUCCAAUAGCGUAUACUAAAGCUGCUGCGGUUAAAAAGCUCGUAGUUGGAUCUCAGUUCCAGACGAGUAGUGCAUCUACCCGAUGCGACGGCUCGGACUGAACAUCAUGCCGGUCCUUUCUUGGUGCACUUCAUUGUGUGCCUCGAGAAGGCCGGUGCUUUUACUUUGAAAAAAUUAGAGUGCUCAACGCAGGCGAGUCGCCUGAAUAAACUUGCAUGGAAUAAUAGAACAAGACCUCGUUUCUGUUCUGUUGGUUUUUGGAAUACGAGGUAAUGAUUAAGAGGGACAGACGGGGGCAUUCGUAUUGCGGCGCUAGAGGUGAAAUUCUUGGACCGUCGCAAGACGAACUACUGCGAAAGCAUUUGCCAAGAAUGUUUUCUUUGAUCAAGAACGAAAGUCAGAGGUUCGAAGGCGAUCAGAUACCGCCCUAGUUCUGACCAUAAACGAUGCCAACCAGCGAUCCGCCUGAGUUACUCAAAUGACUCGGCGGGCAGCUUCCGGGAAACCAAAGUGUUUGGGUUCCGGGGGAAGUAUGGUUGCAAAGCUGAAACUUAAAGGAAUUGACGGAAGGGCACCACCAGGAGUGGAGCCUGCGGCUUAAUUUGACUCAACACGGGAAAACUUACCCGGCCCGGACACUGGGAGGAUUGACAGAUUGAGAGCUCUUUCUUGAUUCGGUGGAUGGUGGUGCAUGGCCGUUCUUAGUUGGUGGAGCGAUUUGUCUGGUUAAUUCCGAUAACGAACGAGACUCUAGCCUAUUAAAUAGGUGCGGGGUUCCCAGCACCUUACAACCUUCUUAGAGGGACAAGCGGCUCCUAGCCGCACGAAACAGAGCAAUAACAGGUCUGUGAUGCCCUUAGAUGUCCGGGGCCGCACGCGCGCUACACUGAAGGAAGCAGCGUGUCUUUAUCCCUGUCUGAAAAGACUGGGUAACCCGUGGAACUUCUUUCGUGAUUGGGAUAGGGGCUUGCAAUUGUUCCCCUUGAACGAGGAAUUCCCAGUAAGCGCGAGUCAUAAGCUCGCGUUGAUUACGUCCCUCGCCCUUUGUACACACCGCCCGUCGCUACUACCGAUUGAAUGAUUUAGUGAGGUCUUCGGACCGAUGUCCGGCGCGGCCUUUCGGUUGCGCCGGUCUGUUGGAAAGAUGACCAAACUUGAUCAUUUAGAGGAAGUAAAAGUCGUAACAAGGUUUCCGUAGGUGAACCUGCGGAAGGAUCAUUA
rnacentral:rRNA from 1 species